UAGAAAUAUGUCCUAUGGGAACUCAGUGUUAUAGUGCUCUGGUUCAUAACAGGUACCAUACAGGUACAGUAUUUGAAAGGACACAUCCUGCAGGCACUAAAGUAAAAAUUCAGUGGUAAUAGAUUAUGCAGAUAAGUGAGCAUAGAAAUAUUUGGCAGAAUUAGUUUAUUCUUACAAGGUAUAGAUGAAAAAACAAGCACAGAAACUUAAGUGCAAUACACCAGUAUUUCUUUACAUGUGCUAAAUGUCUGUAUGUAUUCUUGUUAUUUAUUUUAUACAGAUUGAAUUGUUACUACCACUUCUAAAGAAUAAAACACUAGAAGUAGAAGUAGAAUCCAGGCUGAAUUUGUUGGGGGUAUUCGCUGGAUGUGUGAGCCAACUAGCCACUAUUAUGACUUGAAGAUACACAUCUGGAAUUUUACCAAUCAACUGUCAAAAAUUGGUCUAGAUUAUUAUCAAUGCUACCAUUUUCAAAACGUAUGCAAGUUUGUGAAUUGUUGUUAACCAGGCACACCAUUGUGUAGCCAAAUCAUUCAGUGCAAAUUUAUAGUAAUAUCUUGAGUUUUCACUGACUGCUAGAAAUUACACUGUGGAGUUAUUAUACCCCUGCCAAAAAAAGUUGGAAGAUUUGUUGGUAUUAAUCACAUUCAGUGAUAUUUCUAGUUUGUACUGCAUCAAAAUGUGUAAGUUCUCACUACAGUCUUGCCAGUUGCCAUGUUUUAAACUUUGGUUUGAUAUGUAUUUUUCAUAUGCCAAAAUAACAAGAUGGGCAUUCUAAGCCCACUGUGAUUUUUAUCCCAUUCAACUUUCGUUGCUUGAUUCUGAUGUCGUAUUUGAAUUGGAGAUGAUGCUUCUGUUAUAGUGUACAGGACUUGAUACAGCAGCAAAGUAUCUGACUUGUUCCAGUACCGUAUUCAUUGUUUGGUGCACAUCAUUUUUCAUGUGAAAGAGUAACAUGUACAUGUAGAGCAUUCCAAGUGAAUUGUGAUUGUCAUCUCAUUCAUUUGUUUGUGUUUGAUUUUUAUGACGUAUUGAAACUGAAAUGAUGUUUCUCCAACUACACUUUACAGAACACAAAUCUGCAUGAUGGUGUAUUCAGCUCUCAUUCAAAUCUUGCCAUGUUUUAUUGUUUGAUAGAUGAUUUUAACAUGCCAAAGUUACAAGUGUAGUUUUACAUCUCUUUCAUUUUUGUACCUGAUUACAUUGUAGUGUUUGACAAUGAUAUUAUAUAUAUUUAUUUGGUAUGGCAAACUCUAAUGUGUAUUAAAGUUGCAUUCAGGUGUUAAACCUCUGUUGAGCAAAGUUAUUUGUGUAAGUUCACAUCCCAGUCUUGCCAUGUUUUUAUAUAAUUGUUUGAUGCAAAUUUUGUCAUAUGAAAGAUAGUAACAUGUACAUGUAGAGCAUUCCAAGUGAAUUGUGAUUGUCAUCUCAUUCAUUUGUGCUUAAUUUUAAUGACGUAUUGAAACUGACAUGAUGUUUCUCCAACUACACUUUACAGAACACAAAUCUGCAUCAGGGUGUAUUCAGCUCUCAUUCCAUUCUUGCCUUGUUUUAGAAUAUUGUUUGAAACACUCAUUUCAUAUGCAGAAGUAUACUAAUGGGCAUUCCAAGUUAUGUGAUAGAACAGUAGUGAUUCUGAAAUCAUCUUCAAAGAUCAUGGUAACAGCAUGUGUUCGAAAUUGAGGUAAUUUAAAUGGCCUUUACAAAUAAGUAAACAUGUUUAUUUUAUAUCAUGUAAUACAGUGUAGACACAAUACUUGCAUAUCAAAUACCAAGGAUACCUCAUUCCACAUGUAUAUAUGGUUGAUUUUCAAAUUGGACUUCAUUUCUACCAAUUUAGUCAAACUUUCUUUUUUAGUAAUUUUUAAGCCAUUUUGAACCAAAUAUUUUCCAAACAGCUUCGUUAACAUUAUAAAAUGAUUAAUACGCAUCAGUUUGCAUGGUUGUUUCCCAAUUAAAUCAUCUUCUUUUUUUUCUUGCUAAAAUGCCUUCUUACCCACUUCUGAACAUCCCAUUUAAAUGUAACUUUAUUGUCAUCGUUCAAACUUAGAUAAUGUGUAUCUGUAACUACACUUUACAGUACUCAAUGCUGCACCAAAGUGUCUUUCUCAUUCUAGUCUUGCCAUGUUAUGUUGUAAGGUGCAUUAUUUUUUACAUGCCAAAGAGACAUUUCAUGCAUUUAUAGUUGGUGACUGCGAUUUUCUACUCAUUUGUAUUAUUUGUGUGUAUGUAUAUGUCUGCUUGGACUAGGACAGCUAGAGACAGAAGAGAAUGGAAAUGUUAUGAGGAGGGCUUUGUCCAAUGUCUGGAUGAACUAUAGCCUGAUAGAAAUAGAAAUAGAAAUAUGUCUGCUUGAUUUUCAUGUAGUAUUCAAUCAAGAAUGUUUUUUUAUUUACUACACUUUACAGUUAGUCAAUGCUGCAUCAGGAUAACUAAGUUGACAUUCCACUCAUGCUAUGUUUUUUUAAAUAUUUGUUACAGUUUUAUACCAGUUGCUGAGUACUGUUUUAUACCAUUUACUGUUUUAUACUGGUUGAAGCAGUAUUUUCUCAUGCCAAAAUAACAUUUCAGCAUUCCAAGUUAAGUGUGAAUUUCAUCUCUUUCCUUUUUAUUCUUAAUUGUGAUAAAAUAUUUGUACUUUAUAAGACUGACGUUGAUAAAUGUUAACAUGAUAUUUGUAUGUAGUAAAGUUGCAUUCAGGUUCAUUUGGGGGCCUUGAAUGCUUUAGUUCAUCAUUCCAAA